AAUACAUUUUAAUUACUCGAAGAUAAAAGGGAGCCUCAGAUAUAAUUUGCUACUCGUUCUCUUUACAGAAGACGAAAUGUUAAGAAAGGAGUUCAGGAGGAAAUGCUUGCGAGGGAAUUUAUAACCACUUCUUUGCUUCUGGGAAUGCCUGAUGCCGACGGGUUUGAACUGGAGGCUUCCUUGUUUGUUCAUUGGAAAGGUGUUUACCCAAGAGAAAUAAAUGUCCCCGUUUAAAGACUAGUCCACAAAUGUGCACAGUAGUAUUUGUUACAUACGAAGGCUGGAAAAAACCCAGAUGUUCAUCACAAGGCUGGCUGGCAUUUGGCUCUACUGGGUAGGCUCCGCUAGAUGGCUGGGGCAACUCUGCUUGUCCCUUAGCUUCCGUGGGUCACCUGGGGUCUCUGUUGGAUGCUGUUCUUGUUCUCCUUGGACUGUGAAUUUACCGGGGCAUACUGUGCUCACUGUGGUGGCAGAGAGAAGUGAGUGGAGCCACGUGUGGCUUUUG
rnacentral:lncRNA from 1 species